rnacentral:misc_RNA from 1 species
AGAUGAAGAACGCAGCGAAAUGCGAUAAGUAAUGUGAAUUGCAGAAUUCAGUGAAUCAUCGAAUCUUUGAACGCACCUUGCACCUUUUGGCAUUCCAAAGGGUAUGCCUGUUUGAGUAUCAUGAAAUUCUCAAGUCCCCUCGGAUUCCAUCUGUAGGGUGAGCUUGGACUUGGAGGUUUCUGCUGGCGUUCGCCGGCUCCUCUUGAAAUCAUUAGCUUUGAGUUGAUCUCGAUGGCUUGACCGGUGUGAUAAACAUCUACGCCGAUUUGUGCCGUCCUGAGCGACGAAUGUCGGAGACGCUCUGGCUUAUAACCGUCUUCACCAGAGGACGACGCCCUGAACUUUUGAUCUCAAAUCAGGUAGGACUACCCGCUGAACUUAAGCAUAUCAAUAAGCGGAGGA